rnacentral:rRNA from 1 species
UACGUAGGGUGCAAGCGUUGUCCGGAAUUAUUGGGCGUAAAGAGCUCGUAGGCGGUGUGUCGCGUCGGCCGUGAAAACCUGCAGCUUAACUGUGGGCGUGCGGUCGAUACGGGCAUCACUGGAGUUCGGUAGGGGAGACUGGAAUUCCUGGUGUAGCGGUGAAAUGCGCAGAUAGUCAGGAGGAACACCGAUGGCGAAGGCAGGUCUCUGGGCCACUACUGACGCUGAGAGCGAAAGCAUGGGGAGCGAACAGG